rnacentral:rRNA from 2 species
UUUUAACGGAGAGUUUGAUCCUGGCUCAGGACGAACGCUGGCGGCGUGCCUAAUACAUGCAAGUCGAGCGGACAGAAGGGAGCUUGCUCCCGGACGUUAGCGGCGGACGGGUGAGUAACACGUGGGCAACCUGCCCCUUAGACUGGGAUAACUCCGGGAAACCGGAGCUAAUACCGGAUAAUCCCUUUCUCCACCUGGAGAGAGGGUGAAAGAUGGCUUCGGCUAUCACUAGGGGAUGGGCCCGCGGCGCAUUAGCUAGUUGGUAAGGUAACGGCUUACCAAGGCAACGAUGCGUAGCCGACCUGAGAGGGUGAUCGGCCACACUGGGACUGAGACACGGCCCAGACUCCUACGGGAGGCAGCAGUAGGGAAUCUUCCGCAAUGGACGAAAGUCUGACGGAGCAACGCCGCGUGAGUGAGGAAGGCCUUCGGGUCGUAAAG